CCUACGGGAGGCAGCAGUGGGGAAUAUUGGGCAAUGGGCGCAAGCCUGACCCAGCAACGCCGCGUGAAGGAAGAAGGCUUUCGGGUUGUAAACUUCUUUUCUCAGGGACGAAGAAAGUGACGGUACCUGAGGAAUAAGCCACGGCUAACUACGUGCCAACAGCCGCGGUAAUACGGAGGUGGCAAGCGUUAUCCGGAUUUAUUGGGUGUAAAGGGCGUGUAGGCGGGAGCGCAAGUCAGAUGUGAAAACUCAGGGCUCAACCCUGAGACUGCAUUUGAAACUGUGUUUCUUGAGUGCUGGAGAGGCAAUCGGAAUUCCGUGUGUAGCGGUGAAAUGCGUAGAUAUACGGAGGAACACCAGUGGCGAAGGCGGAUUGCUGGCCAGUAACUGACGCUGAGGCGCGAAAGCGUGGGGAGCAAACAGGAUUAGAUACCCGUGUAGUC
rnacentral:rRNA from 1 species